rnacentral:rRNA from 1 species
GUGCAGCAGGCGAGAAUUUUUCUCAAUGGGGGCAACCCUGAAGGAGCGACGCCGCGUGGAGGAUGAAGGCUUUCGGGUUGUAAACUCCUGUCAUUUGAGAACAAGUGGCCGAAAUUAACUACUUCGGCCUUGAUAGUAUCAGAAGAGGAAGGGACGGCUAACUCUGUGCCAGCAGCCGCGGUAAUACAGAGGUCCCGAGCGUUGUUCGGAUUCAUUGGGCGUAAAGGGUGCGUAGGUGGCGCCGUAAGUGGGGUGUGAAAUCCCGGGGCUUAACCCCGGGACUGCAUUCCAUACUGCGGUGCUUGAGGACUGGAGAGGAGACUGGAAUUUACGGUGUAGCAGUGAAAUGCGUAGAGAUCGUAAGGAAGACCAGUGGCGAAGGCGGGUCUCUGGACAGUUCCUGACACUGAGGCACGAAGGCCAGGGGAGCAAACGGGAUUAGAUACCCCCGUAGU